UAAAGGAUCGUCUGGGUCCUUCUAAAAGUGCUCACGAGAGCACGGCCUCUAAGCAUAAUUCGGGUGAUCUCCGCCCGAAGAUCCACGGUGGAGCCAGAUGGAGGUUGGUCUUUGAUGCUGAUAAAUGGCAUGAUCGUGGUCGGGGGCGAGCAGAUGGCUCACCGACUAGGACUCAUCGCCGAAGUGGUGAGGAGGACAGAGCUACCAAGUUGGCGAGGAUGGCAGAUGAAGCAGAUAAAGCCUUGG
rnacentral:lncRNA from 1 species